rnacentral:rRNA from 1 species
UACGUAGGGCGCAAGCGUUGUCCGGAAUUAUUGGGCGUAAAGAGCUCGUAGGCGGUCUGUUACGUCCGCUGUGAAAACCCAGGGCUUAACCCUGGGCUUGCAGUGGAUACGGGCAGACUAGAGGCAGGUAGGGGAGAAUGGAAUUCCCGGUGUAGCGGUGAAUGCGCAGAUAUCGGGAGGAACACCGGUGGCGAAGGCGGUUCUCUGGGCCUGACCUGACGCUGAGGAGCGAAAGCGUGGGGAGCGAACAGG